rnacentral:rRNA from 1 species
CCUACGGGAGGCAGCAGUGGGGAAUUUUGGACAAUGGGGGCAACCCUGAUCCAGCGAUGCCGCGUGGGUGAAGAAGGUCUUCGGGUUGUAAAGCCCUUUCGGUGGGGAAGAAAAGCGGAAGGCUAAUAUCCUUCCGUGUUGACGGUACCCACAGAAGAAGCACCGGCUAACUCCGUGCCAGCAGCCGCGGU